CCCUCUGAGAGGUAACCCCGGGAACUGGGGCUAAUCCCAGAUAGAUGAGAACCCCUGGAAUGGGUUUUCGUCCAAAAGGCACCGCGGUUAUGCUCUGCGGUGUCGCUCAAGGAUGGGGCCGCGUCCGAUCAGGCUGUUGGUGAGGCAAUGGCUCACCAAACCUAUAACCGGUACGGGCCGUGGGAGCGGGAGCCCGGAGAUGGGAACUGAGACAAGGUCCCAGGCCCUACGGGGCGCAGCAGUUACGAAAACUUGUCAAUGCACGAAAGUGUGAACGGGCUACCCCGAGUGCCGUCCGCUGAGGAUGGCUUUUCUCUGCUGUAAGAAGGCGGAGGAAUAAGGCGAGGGCAAGUCUGGUGUCAGCCGCCGCGGUAAUACCAGCUCGCCGAGUGGUAGGGAUGAUUAUUGGGCCUAAAGCGUCCGUAGCCGGCCUUUCAAGUCUCUUGUUAAAUCCAACGAUUCAAUCGCUGGACUGCAGGAGAUACUGUCAGGCUGGGGGGCGGGAGAAGCCGACGGUAUUUUCGGGGUAGGGGUAAAAUCCUAUAAUCCCGGGAAGACCACCAGUGGCGUAGGCGGUCGGCUAGCACGCGCUCGACGGUGAGGGACGAAAGCUGGGGGAGCGAACCGGAUUAGAUACCCGGGUAGUCUCAGCUGUAAACGAUGCUGGCUAGGUGUUGAAGCGGCUACGAGCCGCUUCAGUGCCGCAGGGAAGCCAUUAAGCCCGCCGCCUGGGGAGUACGGCCGCAAGGCUGAAACUUAAAGGAAUUGGCGGGGGAGCAC
rnacentral:rRNA from 1 species